GAUGAAGAACGCAGCGAAAUGCGAUACUUGGUGUGAAUUGCAGAAUUCAGUGAAUCAUCGAAUCUUUGAACGCACAUUGCGCCCGCCAGUAUUCUGGCGGGCAUGCCUGUCCGAGCGUCAUUUCAACCAUCAAGCCCCCGGGCUUGUGUUGGGGACCUGCGGCUGCCCGCAGGCCCUGAAAACCAGUGGCGGGCUCGCUGUCACACCGAGCGUAGUAGCAAUCACCUCGCUCAGGGCGUGCUGCGGGUUCCGGCCGUUAAACAGCCUUACAAAACCCAAGGUUGACCUCGGAUCAGGUAGGAAGACCCGCUGAACUUAAGCAUAUCAAUAAGCGGAGGA
rnacentral:misc_RNA from 1 species